rnacentral:rRNA from 1 species
CAACAGGGAUUGCCUUAGUAACGGCGAGUGAAGCGGCAAAAGCUCAAAUUUGAAAUCUGGCACCUUCGGUGUCCGAGUUGUAAUUUGAAGAAGGUAACUUUGGAGUUGGCUCUUGUCUAUGUUCCUUGGAACAGGACGUCACAGAGGGUGAGAAUCCCGUGCGAUGAGAUGCCCAAUUCUAUGUAAAGUGCUUUCGAAGAGUCGAGUUGUUUGGGAAUGCAGCUCUAAGUGGGUGGUAAAUUCCAUCUAAAGCUAAAUAUUGGCGAGAGACCGAUAGCGAACAAGUACAGUGAUGGAAAGAUGAAAAGAACUUUGAAAAGAGAGUGAAAAAGUACGUGAAAUUGUUGAAAGGGAAGGGCUUGAGAUCAGACUUGGUAUUUUGCGAUCCUUUCCUUUUUGGUUGGGUUCUCCGCAGCUUACUGGGCCAGCAUCGGUUUGGACGGUAGGAUAAUGAUUAAGGAAUGUGGCUCUGCUUCGGUGGAGUGUUAUAGCCUUGGUUGAUGCUGCCUGUCUAGACCGAGGACUGCGUCUUUUGACUAGGAUGUUGGCAUAAUGAUCUUAAGCCACCCGUCUUGAA